rnacentral:rRNA from 2 species
GCCCAAUUGAUUGAUGGUGCUUGCACCUGAUUGAUUUUGGUCGCCAACGAGUGGCGGACGGGUGAGUAACACGUAGGUAACCUGCCCAGAAGCGGGGGACAACAUUUGGAAACAGAUGCUAAUACCGCAUAACAGCGUUGUUCGCAUGAACAACGCUUAAAAGAUGGCUUCUCGCUAUCACUUCUGGAUGGACCUGCGGUGCAUUAGCUUGUUGGUGGGGUAACGGCCUACCAAGGCGAUGAUGCAUAGCCGAGUUGAGAGACUGAUCGGCCACAAUGGGACUGAGACACGGCCCAUACUCCUACGGGAGGCAGCAGUAGGGAAUCUUCCACAAUGGGCGCAAGCCUGAUGGAGCAACACCGCGUGAGUGAAGAAGGGUUUCGGCUCGUAAAGCUCUGUUGUUAAAGAAGAACACGUAUGAGAGUAACUGUUCAUACGUUGACGGUAUUUAACCAGAAAGUCACGGCUAACUACGUGCCAGCAGCCGCGGUAAUACGUAGGUGGCAAGCGUUAUCCGGAUUUAUUGGGCGUAAAGAGAGUGCAGGCGGUUUUCUAAGUCUGAUGUGAAAGCCUUCGGCUUAACCGGAGAAGUGCAUCGGAAACUGGAUAACUUGAGUGCAGAAGAGGGUAGUGGAACUCCAUGUGUAGCGGUGGAAUGCGUAGAUAUAUGGAAGAACACCAGUGGCGAAGGCGGCUACCUGGUCUGCAACUGACGCUGAGACUCGAAAGCAUGGGUAGCGAACAGGAUUAGAUACCCUGGUAGUCCAUGCCGUAAACGAUGAGUGCUAGGUGUUGGAGGGUUUCCGCCCUUCAGUGCCGGAGCUAACGCAUUAAGCACUCCGCCUGGGGAGUACGACCGCAAGGUUGAAACUCAAAGGAAUUGACGGGGGCCCGCACAAGCGGUGGAGCAUGUGGUUUAAUUCGAAGCUACGCGAAGAACCUUACCAGGUCUUGACAUCUUGCGCCAACCCUAGAGAUAGGGCGUUUCCUUCGGGAACGCAAUGACAGGUGGUGCAUGGUCGUCGUCAGCUCGUGUCGUGAGAUGUUGGGUUAAGUCCCGCAACGAGCGCAACCCUUGUUACUAGUUGCCAGCAUUAAGUUGGGCACUCUAGUGAGACUGCCGGUGACAAACCGGAGGAAGGUGGGGACGACGUCAGAUCAUCAUGCCCCUUAUGACCUGGGCUACACACGUGCUACAAUGGACGGUACAACGAGUCGCGAACUCGCGAGGGCAAGCAAAUCUCUUAAAACCGUUCUCAGUUCGGACUGCAGGCUGCAACUCGCCUGCACGAAGUCGGAAUCGCUAGUAAUCGCGGAUCAGCAUGCCGCGGUGAAUACGUUCCCGGGCCUUGUACACACCGCCCGUCACACCAUGAGAGUUUGUAACACCCAAAGUCGGUGGGGUAACCUUUUAGGAGCCAGCCGCCUAAGGUGGG